rnacentral:misc_RNA from 1 species
CAAAUCUUUGUGAGAGCUGUGUGCCGUUUACGGUCGCAGUGACUCCAACAUUAGCACAGGGUCGCAAGGCUCUGAUGUUUACGCUUGUUUGUUUGACAGAGUUAGUUGAGAAUUAAAUAAAGA